GGAGUACGGUCGCAAGAUUAAAACUCAAAUGAAUUGACGGGGGCCCGCACAAGCGGUGGAGCAUGUGGUUUAAUUCGAUGCAACGCGAAGAACCUUACCUACUCUUGACAUCCAGAGAACUUUCCAGAGAUGGAUUGGUGCCUUCGGGAACUCUGAGACAGGUGCUGCAUGGCUGUCGUCAGCUCGUGUUGUGAAAUGUUGGGUUAAGUCCCGCAACGAGCGCAACCCUUAUCCUUGUUUGCCAGCGAGUAAUGUCGGGAACUCCAGGGAGACUGCCGGUGAUAAACCGGAGGAAGGUGGGGACGACGUCAAGUCAUCAUGGCCCUUACGAGUAGGGCUACACACGUGCUACAAUGGCGCAUACAGAGGGCGGCCAACUUGCGAAAGUGAGCGAAUCCCAAAAAGUGCGUCGUAGUCCGGAUUGGAGUCUGCAACUCGACUCCAUGAAGUCGGAAUCGCUAGUAAUCGUGGAUCAGAAUGCCACGGUGAAUACGUUCCCGGGCCUUGUACACACCGCCCGUCACACCAUGGGAGUGGGCUGCAAAAGAAGUAGGUAGUUUAACCUUCGGGGGGACGCUUACCACUUUGUGGUUCAUGACUGGGGUGAAGUCGUAACAAGGUAGCGCUAGGGGAACCUGGCGCUGGAUCACCUCCUUAAACGAUGAU
rnacentral:rRNA from 1 species